GGAGAGUCUAGAGUGGAACCAGCAGGCGCAUAUCAUAGCGGAUCACAAGACACGUGAUGUCUGUGCCUCCCGCAAUCCUGGCCAACUCCCCUGGAUCUCAAGCACUGAGACGUAGAACCCGCCCCCAGCCCUUCUCUGUCUGACAGGAGAGCUCGGUAGGACCGUUCUCCUCCAACAGGAGCCACCCAGAAAGCCAAAGGAAUGAGGUGAAGUCGCCCAUGUGGCUGGGACCGGCCUUGAGGACGCGGGUCACAGAGACAUUCACAGAGCCAGAGCUGGGCUCCCCUGCGUCGAUCUCAGACCCUGCGCCCCUGGGGACCAUCUCAAGUCCAUCCUUGUAGAAGUGGAACCUCCACUGGCCGGUGUCCCCGGGGGCUGUGCAAG